rnacentral:rRNA from 1 species
ACAACAGGUGGAGCCUGCGGUUAAUCGGACUCAACGCCGGGAAACUCACCAGAUAAGACAGCUGAAUGAUAGUCGGGCUGAAGACUCUACUUGACUAGCUGAGAGGAGGUGCAUGGCCGUCGUCAGUUCGUACUGUGAAGCAUCCUGUUAAGUCAGGCAACGAGCGAGACCCACGCCAACAGUUGCCAGCUCGUCCGUCCGGGAUGGGUGGGGACACUGUUGGGACCGCCUCUGCUAAAGAGGAGGAAGGAAUGGGCAACGGUAGGUCAGCAUGCCCCGAAUUAUCUGGGCUACACGCGGGCUACAAUGGGUGGGACAAUGGGUAUCGACACCGAAAGGUGAAGGCAAUCUCCUAAACCCAUCCGUAGUUCGGAUUGUGGGCUGCAACUCGCCCACAUGAAGCUGGAAUCUGUAGUAAUCGCGUUUCAACAGAACGCGGUGAAUACGUCCCUGCUCCUU